rnacentral:misc_RNA from 1 species
AAAGGAACUAAUGGCAGGACAUAAAAGCCCCUGGUCUUAGUCUUAAUUUGCACACACGAUAUGGUGAUGCAGACUACUGACAAUUCACCAAUUCAAAAUUGAUUUUAGUCCAUUUUGAAAUGGAAGAAAAAUUUUAGUGCAUCUAUUUUUUAGUUACAGAUAAUCCAAGCGCAAAAUCAUUCCAAAAGAAAAAUUCUUAUCCCUGCCUUGUCAAAAAAGAAAGAAAAA